CUCCUGUCACUCCCCUCCUUCACCCUUGGCAACCACUAACCUGUUCUUCAUCUCUCAAAUUCUAUCAUUUGAAGAAAGCUAUAUAAAUGGAAUCACACAGAAAGCGUGUCGUCCUCGGCUGAGGACCAGCUGGUUUGCCAAGGUGGGAGAGAGCUGGGCUGCAGGGACUCGGGGACUUCGUGAACCUGCCAUGGAUGGAAACCACACGAGGAGCAGAACUCAAUAAAGAACGACACACUUGGAUGAGUCCAGUCAGCGUCAUGGUUGUCAACUGUGGCUUUCCUCACAGUGCAGUCAGGCUUUCAGCAUGGUGGCUCCUGCAGUUCUAAGGGAUGUGCCCAUCCAGCUCCCAGCCAGGUGUGAAGGAGCCCAUGGCGGGAGCAAGAGGAAGUCAUUGGUUGUGAGUUCCCCGUUUCUCAACUGCAAACUCUUUGAAAUGCUCUUCGGCACCUAUAAUGGAAGAACUAUCAUGGAGACAGGUGCCCAGUGAGGGGUGCCAAAGCUGAUUGGUCGCAGCCUUCAGAUCAGGACCAGGGGAAAGAUGGGUCAGAAUGCAAAGGAGGUGACAUACAUCUUUACCUAAUCCCAAGACAAUGGAGAGCACUUGAGAUUCCUGAAAGAAAGACCUGAAAGGAGGGAGGAACACUGGUUUCAAGAAGACAGAAUAAUCAUCAUCACUAUCACCCCUAAGGAAAGGAUCCAGAGUUUUAUAGACAAAGAACCAAGAAUAUCUCUAUACAAAUUAUUUCAGAAAAUUGAACAAGGGAGAAUUCCACCUGAUUUACUUUUAUGAUGCUAGUAUAUACCCUGGGCUUUAAGAUUAGAGAGAGAGCAAGAGAGAGGCAGAGACACAGACAGAGGGAGAAGCAGGCUCCAUGCAGGGAGCCCGACUUGGGACUCCAUCCUGGGUCUUCAGGAUCAGGCCCUGGGCCGAGGGCAGCACUAAACCGCUGAGCCACCCAGGCUGCCCUGUUAUAUUAUUAAGAAAAUUCAGAUUUCUAACUUCUACCAAAUACGAAAAUAAACUCUAAUUAAUUGUAGACUUAGUGGAUCCAUGGGAAACAAAUGAAUUGUAGUUCUAAAUGUGAAAGAUAAAAUUAUGAUAUUAAGAUGAUAAAAAGAUUUUGUGUAUCUGUGUGUGUGACUUGGGAUGGAAAAAAGGUUCUUAAACAAUACAUAAAUAGCACAGAUCGUAAGGGGAAAAAACUGGUGGACGUGACCACAUUAAGAAUUUCUGUUAAGUAAAUGGCACCAUAGAUGAAUGUGACAGAUUGGUGAUAGACUUGAAGAUAUUUGUUAUUUUUAAAAUGGAAAGGAAUCAAUUUCUAGAAUGUGCCAAGAACUACCACAACAAAGGAAAAUAGGAAAUUUUUUUAGAAAAUUAGGCAAAAUAUAUGAACUCACAGGAGGUUAACAAAUAUAAAAGAGAUGCUCAACGUCAGUGAUUAAGGACAAGCAAAACAGAACAAGAUGCCAUUUUCCAUCCAUAACAUUAGCAACCACUGGAAAGUGAGGUGCUACCAAGUACUGGAGAGGAUGUGGGGAAUGAGGACUCUCAAGACCACUGGUGGGAGUAUAAAACUGGACAUCCUAGAGAGCUAUCCAUUGUCCAUGUUCAUGUCCUCGUAUUGCUUUGUGACAUUAUUCUGUAAUUCAGGAAUCUCACUCUUGGGUAUGUAGCCUGGAGACAUAUACGAGCAAUUCUAGGAGAAAAUAUGGGUAAGCAUG